rnacentral:rRNA from 1 species
CCCGGGUUGACAGUCGCAUGGUGACCGGCGGAGGGAUCAUUACCGAGUUUACAACUCCCAAACCCCUGUGAACAUACCUAUACGUUGCCUCGGCGGAUCAGCCCGCGCCCCGUAAAACGGGACGGCCCGCCCGAGGACCCCUAAACUCUGUUUUUAGUGGAACUUCUGAGUAAAACAAACAAAUAAAUCAAAACUUUCAACAACGGAUCUCUUGGUUCUGGCAUCGAUGAAGAACGCAGCAAAAUGCGAUAAGUAAUGUGAAUUGCAGAAUUCAGUGAAUCAUCGAAUCUUUGAACGCACAUUGCGCCCGCCAGUAUUCUGGCGGGCAUGCCUGUUCGAGCGUCAUUUCAACCCUCAAGCUCAGCUUGGUGUUGGGACUCGCGGUAACCCGCGUUCCCCAAAUCGAUUGGCGGUCACGUCGAGCUUCCAUAGCGUAGUAAUCAUACACCUCGUUACUGGUAAUCGUCGCGGCCACGCCGUAAAACCCCAACUUCUGAAUGUUGACCUCGGAUCAGGUAGGAAUACCCGCUGAACUUAA